ensembl:misc_RNA Metazoa_SRP Metazoan signal recognition particle RNA
GCUAGGCACAGCAGUCUGUGCCUGUAGUCCCAGCUACUUGGGAGGCUGAGCUGGGAGGAUUACUUGAGCCCAGGAGUUCAAGACUGCAGUGAGCUAUGGUUGCACCACCGCACUCCAGCCUGGGUGACAGAGUGAGAUCCUGUCUCUA